rnacentral:tRNA from 1 species
UGUCCGAUGGUGUAAUGGUAGCACAGGUCCCUUUGGAGGAUCUAGUCAUGGUUCGAAUCCAUGUCGGACAACCA